GGGUCUGAGAGGAUGAUCCCCCACACUGGUACUGAGACACGGACCAGACUCCUACGGGAGGCAGCAGUGAGGAAUAUUGGGCAAUGGACGCAAGUCUGACCCAGCCAUGCCGCGUGCAGGAUGACUGCCCUAUGGGUUGUAAACUGCUUUUGUUUGGGAAGAAACCCCCGAUCGUGAUCGGGGCUGACGGUACCAUACGAAUAAGCAUCGGCUAACUCCGUGCCAGCAGCCGCGGUAAUACGGAGGAUGCAAGCGUUAUCGCGGAUUCAUUGGGUUUAAAGGGUGCGCAGGCGGAAUAUUAAGUCAGUGGUGAAAUCCUGCAGCUAAACUGUAGAACUGCCAUUGAUACUGAUAUUCUUGACUAUCGUUGAGGUGGGCGGAAUUGUUGUAAUGUAGCGGUGAAAUGCUUAGAUAUUACACAGAACACCAAUUGCGAAGGCAGCUCACUAAACUAAUAUUGACGCUGAGGCACGAAAGCGUGGGUAGCAAACAGGAUUAGAUACCCUGGUAGUCCACGCUGUAAACUAUGAUCACUCGCUGUUGGCAAUACAUCGUCAGCGGCUGAGCGAAAGCAUUAAGUGAUCCACAUGGGGAGUACGGUCGCAAGAUUGAAACUCAAAGGAAUUGACGGGGGCCCGCACAAGCGGAGGAACAUGUGGUNUAAUUCGAUGAUACGCGAGGAACCUUACCUGGGCUUAAAUGCAGAGCGACGUCCGCCGAAAGGUGGAUUCCUUCGGGCGAUCUGCAAGGUGCUGCAUGGUUGUCGUCAGCUCGUGCCGUGAGGUGUCGGGUUAAGUCCCAUAACGAGCGCAACCCUNAUCGUUAGUUGCCAGCGGGUAAUGCCGGGGACUCUAACGAAACUGCCGGUGUAAACCGUGAGGAAGGUGGGGAUGACGUCAAAUCAGCACGGCCCUAUGUCCAGGGGCUACACACGUGUUACAAUGGUCGGUACAGAGGGCAGCUACCACGCGAGUGGAUGCUAAUCUC
rnacentral:rRNA from 1 species